rnacentral:misc_RNA from 1 species
GAUGAAGAACGUAGCGGAAUGCGAUAAGUAAUGUGAAUUGCAGAAUUCAGUGAAUCAUCGAAUCUUUGAACGCACAUUGCGCCCAUUAGUAUUCUAGUGGGCAUGCCUGUUCGAGCGUCAUUAAUUCCACUUAAGCCCUGCUUAGUGUUGGGAAUCUACUCUAGUGGUGCUACCCUGGAGCUACUCCUGAAAGGGGGCUGGCCCGGUAGCUACCCUGUAGUUCCUCAAAGAUAGUGCGCGGAGUUGCGUGGUCCUCUGAGCUUAGUAACUAUACACCUAGCUUUUGAGUGUCCCGCGGCGCCUGCCGUUUAAACCCCAUCUUUUAAUGGUUGACCUCGGAUCAGGUAGGAAUACCCGCUGAACUUAAGCAUAUCAAUAAGCGGAGGA